rnacentral:lncRNA from 1 species
AGAAUCUUGGCAGUUUGUUUCCUAGAAUAUACAACAUCAGACUGUGCUUCCUAAAAGUCCAGGAGAGUUCUUCUACGAGUAAAGAUCAACCAUCAAGAUCAAAGAUCCCCAGAAUGGCAAAUACAUACGUGUAUGGGCUCAAAGUUGGAAGACAUUCCUCUACCAUCUACUUAUUCUGGUUAUACAUUAAAGCAUAGGAGGGCAUAGCUGAAAAAUGACUGGUUUCUAGGUCAGUCAUUUGGAUGAGAAGGGAUCCUUCCAGCUGGGAGUGGGAAAAGAAGGGGGAAGUUAUUCACCAACAACAGGAAAAAGAAUUUAGUUGGCCUUAGGAGGAAACUGACUAAGGAUUUGGAAGAAGUGGUCUGUCCCAGAAAUCCACAUUGGCAAAGACCACUAGGUCUUCUUCAUGCUUUCUCUAGAAGACUUUCCCAUUGUACUCAAAUACUCCCGAAUUCUCAAGGCAAUAAACUUUCUUACAGUGUCACUGAGGGCCAUCUCCCUUCCAAGAGGGGAGACACAGAACCUGGAGUGGGCGGGGCACCUGG